ensembl:snoRNA SNORA71 Small nucleolar RNA SNORA71
CCCUGCAUUCGAAAGUGAUCGUGGGCUGCCGGUGCCUUGGUCAUUGAUAGUGCAGGGAGAGGAAUCGCUGAGGGCGUUUUCCCCGUGUUUGGAGGGUCCAUCCUGUCCCUUCUGAACUCUGGAGCUGUCACACA